UUUUCCCCCUAGAAGUGUUGCAGUGUGUGGCUCCUGUGUCACAUGUGCUAUGCGUCAGUGUGUGACAGGAGAGAGGCUAUGUCUAUGCUCAGUGUUCUGACCUGUGAACAUCUGAGUGAUUAGUAGCCUAACACU
ensembl:snoRNA Gm23323 small nucleolar RNA SNORA17